rnacentral:rRNA from 1 species
AGUGAACGCUGGCGGUAGGCCUAACACAUGCAAGUCGAACGGCAGCACAGUAAGAGCUUGCUCUUACGGGUGGCGAGUGGCGGACGGGUGAGGAAUACAUCGGAAUCUACUUUUUCGUGGGGGAUAACGUAGGGAAACUUACGCUAAUACCGCAUACGACCUACGGGUGAAAGCAGGGGAUCUUCGGACCUUGCGCGAUUGAAUGAGCCGAUGUCGGAUUAGCUAGUUGGCGGGGUAAAGGCCCACCAAGGCGACGAUCCGUAGCUGGUCUGAGAGGAUGAUCAGCCACACUGGAACUGAGACACGGUCCAGACUCCUACGGGAGGCAGCAGUGGGGAAUAUUGGACAAUGGGCGCAAGCCUGAUCCAGCCCUACCGCGUGGGUGAAGAAGGCCUUCGGGUUGUAAAGCCCUUUUGUUGGGAAAGAAAAGCAGCAGGUUAAUACCCCGCUGUUCUGACGGUACCCAAAGAAUAAGCACCGGCUAACUUCGU